UACGUAGGCAGCGAGCGUUGUUCGGAGUUACUGGGCGUAAAGGGUGUGUAGGCGGUUGUUUAAGUUUGGUGUGAAAUCUCCCGGCUCAACUGGGAGGGUGCGCCGAAUACUGAAUGACUUGGAGUGCGGGAGAGGAAAGUGGAAUUCCUGGUGUAGCGGUGAAAUGCGUAGAUAUCAGGAGGAACACCGGUGGUGUAAGCAGGCUUCUGGGACCUCUACUGACGCUGAGGACGAAAGCUGGGGUAGCAAACAGGG
rnacentral:rRNA from 1 species